rnacentral:rRNA from 1 species
CGUGUAGGCGAUUGGUCAAGUCUGGUGUGAAAGCCCGGGGCUUAACCCCGGAAGUGCACUGGAAACUAGCCAGCUAGAGCGCGAGAGAGGAGGGUGGAAUUCCUGGUGUAGCGGUGAAAUGCGUAGAUAUCAGGAGGAACACCGGCGGCGAAGGCGGCCCUCUGGCUCGUUGCUGACGCUGAAACGCGAAAGCGUGGGGAGCGAACAGGAUUAGAUACCCUGGUAGUCCACGCUGUAAACGAUGGGUACUAGGUGUUCGGGGUAUUGACCCCCUGAGUGCCGACGCUAACGCAUUAAGUACCCCGCCUGGGGACUACGGCCGCAAGGUUAAA